AUGGAAAAUUGUAAUGUUGAUGUUGGAAAGUUUAGGAAAAUUGAUGGAAAAUUUCAAUGUUUCUGUUGGAAAAUUGUAGGAAAAUUGAUGGAAAAUUUUAAUGUUAUUGUUCUAUUUUAUGUGAUUUGCUGCAGGUUCAGGUUUGGGUGGAGAAACCUGAACUCAACGGGUGUGGACGUGGGUGUUAUUUUUCUACCUGAAUAG